CUGCAGGAGUUGAUAACCCAUUGGCUCCUGAGAAACACGAUGUUGUUGACACAGAUAGGAAAGGGCUCAGCAAGAGGGAAAACUAUACAGAUCUCUGUCUCCGCAGAGCUGAAUAAGAAGAUUGACAAAGAACGAUCUAGAAGGUAAAGAUCAGCCGUCAGUCCCAGAUGCAGCUUUGAUUUCGAAUCCUCAGGGAAAGCCCUGCAGAUGCCCAGACUCCAGCGGUCCCACCUUUACCAAACCCUGUUCCCCAACACGCUAUGGCUGGUACCACAGUCUGCCAAUUGUAUGUUUGUCUCUCCUCCACCGUUCUAGUUAAAGUGUGGACCACCCCAAAGUCCAUCUGUCAUCACUGUUGUGAGAUUGUGCCCAGGUGCCUGGCAGCCACACAGCUUUGCUCCAUCUACACGGUUCAGUGAAUGAGGAAUGUGAGUCCUGGGUUCUACCAGAGAUGUCAAGGUGUGAAGCAAUCUUCAACCCUAAAUGGGCACCAGAGAGUUGCCUUGGAAGCAUUCUGCCCUCUGUCAGUUUCUCUAGGGAUACGCAGCAGCAAUCCCAUGACCCAUCACAGCCAAUCAAGUUAAAACUCUCCUCCUGCUAAAUGACCUGAAGACCUUCCUCUUCAAUGAACCUGAACUACCUCCUCCCAACCAAGACCCUCCCAAUCUCAGGAUUUCCUACCAUUGAGACCAUGCCUACAGUGCAGCCCCACCCCUAGACUUUUACCCACAUUCAGCAGGAAGAAGCUCCCCCCAGAAACCUCUGACCUUAUUUCAAGAACCCCUAUACUUAUGAAACCACUCUUUAUCUCUUAAGAAUUGGGAUAUGUCAGAAUAAACCUUGAAAAGA